rnacentral:rRNA from 1 species
GAGCAUGGCAUAACAAGGAAUCGUCCAGCGGGUGCCUUUCUCAAGGCUCUGCCAAUCUACCUGACACUGUGUGUGUAUACGUUCUUAGCAGCCCGUCCUGGGCAACACGGGGCCAUCCCAGGGCUUGCAACAGGUGUCUGCCGUCCACCGAUCUUUGCCGGCCACGUUUCGGCAGUCGGUUGGGUCGCUCUCACUCUGUGCAGUCCAUGUGGUUGGCUUUCUGAUCGGACCCGAGGGGAUGGUUCAGUGCCGUACGUACUGUACCGCGAGGGGUGAAAUCCUUAGACCGGUGCAUGACGAACCGAGGCGAAGGCGUUCUUGGCAGGGACACGUCUGUCAAUCAAGAACGAGAGUUUGGGGAUCGAAGAUGAUCAGAUACCGCCGUAGUCCAAUGACCGUAAGCUGUGCCAGCUUGGUGUCAGGAGUGUGUUCCCAUCCAUUAUGGUACGUCUCUUCUGGCACCGUCCCCCCACAUCGAGAAAUCCAAAAGUCGUGUGGGUUCAGGGGGGAGUACGACCGCAAGGCUGAAACUUAAAGGAAUUGACGGAAUGACACCACAAGACGUGGAGUUUGCGGGCUUAAUUUGACUCAACACGGGGGACGUUACCGGGUCAGGACACAGCAAGGAUGGACAGAUUGAGGGCUCUUUCUUGAUCCUCUGGAGGGUGGUGCAUGGCCGUUCCUGGUUGGUGGAGUGAUUUGUCUGGUUGAUUCCGAUAACGAGCGAGAUCUCUGCCUUUCAAUAGUGAUGGGUCUCGUUUCUGUAGGAGGGUGCAAUGAGGUGGGACUUGCGCGGUGGGCUUGCUCAGCGUGUGGUGCCACUGUAAUUUGCUUAGCCGUUUCCGAGAGUGCCCACAGCUUCUCUUAGGGGCCGCGUGCGCUGCCAAGCACACGUAAGCCAGAGCCGACAGCAGGUCUGUGAUGCUCCUAAAUGUCCCGGGCCGCACGCGUACUACACUGGUGUGUCCAACAAGUCUGAUUUCGAACCCCUUUGCAUCUUGCACUGGGUCCUCUCCCGACGGGGACGGGGUAAGCUUGGGAGAACAUGCCGUGAUGGGGAUGGAUGAUUGCAACUAUUUGCCUUGAACGAGGAAUGCCUAGUAGGCGCAGGUCAUCAGCCUGCACCGACUAUGUCCCUGCCAUUUGUACACACCGCCCGUCGUUGCUACCGAUGGUGUGAGGAUAGAGCCACCAGGAGGAAUGCGUAGGUCCAGUGGGAGACCACCUCCCGCCAGCCGCCGUGAGCCGAAUUCUGGCAAUGUCCUCCCGCUAGAGGACGCAAAAGUCGUAACAAGGUUACUGUAGGUGAACCUGCA